rnacentral:lncRNA from 1 species
UUUUUUUUUAAAGAGAUAGCUAGCAUGUUAUCCGCUUCGUUUAUUUUAUUUAAAAAUAAAUUUAGCUAAAAAUGUGAAUCAACUAGGAUUCGAAUUUGGAAUCUCGUGUAUCAACCAUCAAGUCUUUUGCCGCUUGCGCUAGGAACGGUUGGUAGUAGCACAGAUAUCGAAAGCGUAUUUUUAAUGGUGAUUUUGAUGUUUUGUUUAA